rnacentral:rRNA from 1 species
UCCUGUCUGAAUAUGGGGGGACCAUCCUCCAAGGCUAAAUACUCCUGACUGACCGAUAGUGAACCAGUACCGUGAGGGAAAGGCGAAAAGAACCCCGGCGAGGGGAGUGAAAAAGAACCUGAAACCGUGUACGUACAAGCAGUGGGAGCCCCACCACUAAGCCAGUGGUGAACUCCACAUACGCAUCCUUUGCUGAGGAUACGGUUAACGGAGCGAAAGCGACGUUCAACCGCAAAAGAAGCAGAGGGGGCUUAGUGGUGGGGUGACUGCGUACCUUUUGUAUAAUGGGUCAGCGACUUAUAUUCUGUAGCAAGGUUAACCGAAUAGGGGAGCCGGAGGGAAACCGAGUCUUAACCGGGCGUUAAGUUGCAGGGUAUAGACCCGAAACCCGGUGAUCUAGCCAUGGGCAGGUUGAAGGUUGGGUAACACUAACUGGAGGACCGAACCGACUAAUGUUGAAAAAUUAGCGGAUGACCUGUGGCUGGGGGUGAAAGGCCAAUCAAAC